AUCAACUUUCGAUGGUAGGAUAGAGGCCUACCAUGGUGGUAACGGGUAACGGGGUGUUAGGGCACGACACCGGAGAGGGAGCCUGAGAAACGGCUACCACAUCCAAGGAUGGCAGCAGGCGCGCAAAUUACCCAAUCCCGACACGGGGAGGUAGUGACAAUAAAUAACAAUACGGGGUUCUUUAGGAUUUCGUAAUUGGAAUGAGUACAAUUUAAAUCUCUUAACGAGGAACAAUUGGAGGGCAAGUCUGGUGCCAGCAGCCGCGGUAAUUCCAGCUCCAAUAGCGUAUAUUAAAGUUGUUGCAGUUAAAAAGCUCGUAGUUGAACUUCGGGGUUUACCCAUUGGUCAGGCUUAAUUGUCUGCACUGGUGAGAUGAAUCUCUACCUUCUGAGGAACUUUCAUGCCAUUUAUUUGGUGUGAUUGGAAAUCAGGACUGUUACUUUGAAAAAAUUAGAGUGUUUAAAGCAGGCUAACGUCUGAAUACAUUAGCAUGGAAUAAUGAAAUAGGACGGACUGAUUCUAUUUCGUUGGUUUCUAGGAUCACCGUAAUGAUUAAUAGGGAUAGUUGGGGGCAUUAGUAUUCAAUUGUCAGAGGUGAAAUUCUUGGAUUUAUUGAAGACUAACUACUGCGAAAGCAUUUGCCAAGGAUGUUUUCGUUAAUCAAGAACGAAAGUUAGGGGAUCGAAGACGAUCAGAUACCGUCGUAGUCUUAACCAUAAACUAUGCCGACUAGGGAUCGGAUGAUGUUAAUUUUUUAAUGACUCAUUCGGCGCCUUACGGGAAACCAAAGUGUUUGGGUUC
rnacentral:rRNA from 1 species